rnacentral:rRNA from 1 species
UACGUAGGGGGCUAGCGUUGUCCGGAAUCAUUGGGCGUAAAGAGCGUGUAGGCGGCCCGGUAAGUCCGCUGUGAAAGUCCAGGGCUCAACCCUGGGAUGCCGGUCGAUACUGCCGGACUAGAGUUCGGAAGAGGCGAGUGGAAUUCCCGGUGUAGCGGUGAAAUGCGCAGAUAUCGGGAGGAACACCAAUGGCGAAGGCAGCUCGCUGGGACGUGACUGACGCUGAGACGCGAAAGCGUGGGGAGCAAACAGG